UCAUCUUCUAAGUUGAUGAUAGUUGCCUUCUGUUCCUCAAUGAUCUUUAAACUAUCUUCCCAUUUAGUACUAAAUUCAGAGAUUCUUGACAUAUUAGCAGCUCUCUAAGUUUGCAACUUAGUGAUUGUUUCUUUUUGUUCUUCAGAGACUCUGCAGACUUCUGCACUCUUCAGACACAGCUUUUUAUAUGAUUCAGCAAGUUCA
rnacentral:lncRNA from 1 species